GCAUAACGCGAAGAACCUUACCCACCUUUGACAUGUACGGAAUCCUUUAGAGAUAGAGGAGUGCUCGAAAGAGAGCCGUAACACAGGUGCUGCAUGGCUGUCGUCAGCUCGUGUCGUGAGAUGUUGGGUUAAGUCUCGCAACGAGCGCAACCCUUGCCAUUAGUUGCUACAUUUAGUUGGGCACUCUAAUGGGACUGCCGGUGACAAACCGGAGGAAGGUGGGGAUGACGUCAAGUCCUCAUGGCCCUUAUAGGUGGGGCUACACACGUCAUACAAUGGCUGGUACAAAGGGUUGCCAACCCGCGAGGGGGAGCUAAUCCCAUAAAGCCAGUCGUAGUCCGGAUCGCAGUCUGCAACUCGACUGCGUGAAGUCGGAAUCGCUAGUAAUCGUGGAUCAGAAUGUCACGGUGAAUACGUUCCCGGGUCUUGUACACACCG
rnacentral:rRNA from 1 species